UACGAAGGGGGCUAGCGUUGCUCGGAAUCACUGGGCGUAAAGCGCACGUAGGCGGAUUGUUAAGUCAGGGGUGAAAUCCUGGAGCUCAACUCCAGAACUGCCUUUGAUACUGGCGAUCUCGAGUCCGGGAGAGGUGAGUGGAACUGCGAGUGUAAAGGUGAAAUUCGUAGAUAUUCGCAAGAACACCAGUGGCGAAGGCGGCUCACUGGCCCGGUACUGACGCUGAGGUGCGAAAGCGUGGGGAGCAAACAGG
rnacentral:rRNA from 1 species